UGAGGAAUAUUGGUCAAUGGACGGGGAGUCUGAACCAGCCAAGUAGCGUGCAGGAUGACGGCCCUAUGGGUUGUAAACUGCUUUUGUGCGGGGAUAAAGUGUGGGACGCGUCCCAUAUUGCAGGUACCGCAUGAAUAAGGACCGGCUAAUUCCGUGCCAGCAGCCGCGGUAAUACGGAAGGUCCGGGCGUUAUCCGGAUUUAUUGGGUUUAAAGGGAGCGUAGGCGGUCUGGUAAGUCAGCUGUGAAAACGCGGGGCUCAACUCCGCGCCUGCAGUUGAUACUGUCGGACUUGAGUGCACGCAGGGAUGCCGGAAUUCAUGGUGUAGCGGUGAAAUGCUUAGAUAUCAUGAAGAACUCCGAUCGCGAAGGCAGGUGUCCGGAGUGCUACUGACGCUGAGGCUCGAAAG
rnacentral:rRNA from 1 species